rnacentral:misc_RNA from 1 species
CGGCAUUUGUCACACUGCAAAAACAAAUUAUUCUCAUACUCCUCAUCCAUAUGGCAAACGUUGCAUUUGUCCAGAUCUUUCCAUUUAACACGGACAGACCUAUAACCAGCCGGCAAGUCUUGAUUUUUUGAAGACGCCAAUUUCAAGGAUUUUGCAAGAAUCUUGGACUUUGAUAACUCCUUUAUAAGUUUCGAAAUUUCAGGAUGAGAAAAG